AGAGUGAACGCUGGCGGCGUGCUUAACACAUGCAAGUCGAACGAGAACGGAUUUAAGCUUGCUUAAAUUGUCAGCUAAGUGGCGCACGGGUGAGUAAUAUAUAGGUAACGUGCCCUAGAGAAGAGGAUAACAUCUGGAAACGGUUGCUAACACUCUGUAUGCCUUUAAGUCAUAAGACUGCAAGGGAAAUAUUUAUAGCUCUAGGAUCGGCCUGUACGGUAUCAGCUAGUUGGUGAGGUAAUGGCUCACCAAGGCAAUGACACCUAACUGGUUUGAGAGGAUGAUCAGUCACACUGGAACUGAGACACGGUCCAGACUCCUACGGGAGGCAGCAGUGGGGAAUAUUGCACAAUGGACGAAAGUCUGAUGCAGCAACGCCGCGUGGAGGAUGACACAUUUCGGUGCGUAAACUCCUUUUAUAUAGGAAGAUAAUGACGGUACUAUAUGAAUAAGCGCCGGCUAACUCCGUGCCAGCAGCCGCGGUAAUACGGAGGGCGCAAGCGUUACUCGGAAUCACUGGGCGUAAAGAGCGUGUAGGCGGGUUGAUAAGUUUGAAGUGAAAUCCUAUGGCUCAACCAUAGAACUGCUUUGAAAACUGUUAACCUAGAAUAUGGGAGAGGUAGAUGGAAUUUCUGGUGUAGGGGUAAAAUCCGUAGAGAUCAGAAGGAAUACCGAUUGCGAAGGCGAUCUACUGGAACAUUAUUGACGCUGAGACGCGAAAGCGUGGGGAGCAAACAGGAUUAGAUACCCUGGUAGUCCACGCCCUAAACGAUGCACACUAGUUGUUGCUAUGCUAGACAUAGCAGUAAUGCAGUUAACACAUUAAGUGUGCCGCCUGGGGAGUACGGUCGCAAGAUUA
rnacentral:rRNA from 1 species